rnacentral:rRNA from 1 species
CCUACGGGGGGCUGCAGUGGGGAAUAUUGGACAAUGGGGGGAACCCUGAUCCAGCCAUGCCGCGUGUGUGAAGAAGGCCCUCGGGUUGUAAAGCACUUUCAGUGAGGAAGAACGCCUGGUGGUUAAUACCCAUCAGUAAAGACAUCACUCACAGAAGAAGCACCGGCUAACUCCGUGCCAGCAGCCGCGGUAAUACGGAGGGUGCGAGCGUUAAUCGGAAUUACUGGGCGUAAAGCGCGCGUAGGUGGCUUGAUAAGCUGGUUGUGAAAGCCCCGGGCUCAACCUGGGAACGGCAUCCGGAACUGUCAAGCUAGAGUGCAGGAGAGGAAGGUAGAAUUCCCGGUGUAGCGGUGAAAUGCGUAGAGAUCGGGAGGAAUACCAGUGGCGAAGGCGGCCUUCUGGACUGACACUGACACUGAGGUGCGAAAGCGUGGGUAGCAAACAGGAUUAGAUACCCCAGUAGUC